rnacentral:rRNA from 1 species
ACUCAAAUGAAUUGACGGGGGCCCGCACAAGCGGUGGAGCAUGUGGUUCAAUUCGACGCAACGCGAAGAACCUUACCCAGGUUGGACAUGCAGGUAGUAGGAGGGUGAAAGCCUAACGAGGUAGCAAUACCAGCCUGCUCAGGUGCUGCAUGGCUGUCGUCAGCUCGUGCCGUGAGGUGUUGGGUUAAGUCCCGCAACGAGCGCAACCCUUGUCUUCAGUUACCAACGGGUCAUGCCGGGAACUCUGGAGAGACUGCCCAGGAGAACGGGGAGGAAGGUGGGGAUGACGUCAAGUCAGCAUGGCCUUUAUGCCUGGGGCUACACACGUGCUACAAUGGCCGGCACAAAGGGCUGCAAACCCGCGAGGGGAAGCCAAUCCCAAAAAACCGGCCUCAGUUCAGAUCGAGGUCUGCAACUCGACCUCGUGAAGGCGGAAUCGCUAGUAAUCCCAGAUCAGCACGCUGGGGUGAAUACGUUCCCGGGCCUUGUACACACCGCCCGU